rnacentral:lncRNA from 13 species
GUGUGGCUCAGUUUAUAGAGCAUGAGGCUUGUAACACCAGUGUCUUGGGUUCGAUUCCCAUGUGUGACCUGUAUGAAAAUGUAUGCACUCAAUCUGAGACUUACACAGAUACAUAAUUAAGGACACACACACAUAGGUUGUAGCCUGGGGUUUAAGUCUAGCAUUUUACCACAUUUGAAUGUGGAUCAAACACAUUUCUCUGUAACACUAGUAAUUUGGUUUUCUUAUGAAGGCAGUCUAUCUGUUUGUUUCUCUGCUCUUUGAAGUUUGGAUUCAAAGUCCUGUCCCGCCUUAGAAGAAGAGUUCAAAAUAUAAUAAUUUAAUCACUGUUGGAUUUUCUAGCUUCAGUUAUUUAGGGUGUCAUUCAUGGAUAGUUCUGCGUCCCAAAUUGCAUCCUAUUCCCUAUAUAGUGCACUACUUUUGUAAUCCCCCCCAAAAAAUUGUGCUUCAAAAGUAGUGCACUAUGUAGAGAAUGGGGUGGCAUUUGGGACACAGUCACUGUCUGACUCCUUCUCAGUCAACUUCAACUCUGUGUGUGGCCAAAUGUGUGUGUGAUAUGUGUGUGUGAUAUGUGUGUGUGAUAUGUGAAACAGAAUCUUCACCUAUGUCAUUUUGAAAAAGUGAAUCUAUUGCUCUUGUCUUGUCUGAAAUGACGGCCCCCACCUGGCAGUUGGACACUCCAAUUAGUGAUGAUCCGUCUCAUGCUUGUCAAUAUAUGGUCUAUCUAUGUUAUUUUUAUGGUCUAUCGUUUAUAAACUAGUGUUCGUCCCAUUCUAAACCACAAAGGAACCUGUUAGUGUUCCUGUAAGGUAGUGAACCCGUGUGGCUAUAGAGUGUCUACAGGAGCAGAUGCUCGUUUGUGGUUGAGGCUCUCUGAACUCACUCAACUCAUUUGCCUAAAGGAAAAAUGUUUUUUAUUUCCCACGUCUUGACACUAAUAUUGAUAUGGAGGUUAGUAUCAGUGUAUCAGGGAGCCACUCCAUCAUGUCUCCCCUCUACUUCGUUUCCUCUUCAAGUCUGUUGGCUACUGGGGAUCCUCUCCAUCAUGUCUCCCCUCUACUUCAUUUCCUCUUCAAGUCUGUUGGCUACUGGGGAUCCUCUCCAUCAUGUCAUCUUCAUUUCCUCUUCAAGUCUGUUGGCUACUGGGGAUCCUCUCCAUCAUGUCAUCUUCAU